GAAAGUUAAAACAAUGUUCCAUCAACUAAGAUUAGAAAGACCAAACGUCGUUAGCUCAAUUGGUAAAGAUCCUAGGCGAAUCUUAGAGGUCGCCGAUUCGAGUGACGCUUGGGACGAAACUAAUAUUACAUGCUGUGGUUUCGGGUCAGGGGGGAGGUUACGGGUUUCGGCCCAAAACUUCCAGAUAUUCAAAAAAAAAAAAAACUAAAAUUAGAAAGGAGAAAAAAAUGUGUAUUAAAAUGUGAA
rnacentral:sRNA from 1 species